rnacentral:tRNA from 1 species
GCCGUCUUAGCUCAGUUGGUAGAGCACUCGGCUGUUAACCGAGCGGUCACCGGUCCGAGUCCGGUAGACGGCG